CCUACGGGGCGCACCAGUGGGGAAUAUUGCACAAUGGGCGCAAGCCUGAUGCAGCCAUGCCGCGUGUGUGAAGAAGGCCUUCGGGUUGUAAAGCACUUUCAGCGAGGAGGAAGGCGGUGAGGUUAAUAACCUCAUCGAUUGACGUUACCCGCAGAAGAAGCACCGGCUAACUCCGUGCCAGCAGCCCGGUAAUACGGAGGGUGCAAGCGUUAAUCGGAAUUACUGGGCGUAAAGCGCACGCAGGCGGUCUGUCAAGUCGAAUGUGAAAUCCCCGGGCUCAACCUGGGAACUGCAUUCGAAACUGGCAAGCUAGAGUCUUGUAGAGGGGGGUAGAAUUCCAGGUGUAGCGGUGAAAUGCGUAGAGAUCUGGAGGAAUACCGGUGGCGAAGGCGGUCCCCUGGACUAAGACUGACGCUCAGGUGCGAAAGCGUGGGGAGCAAACAGGAUUAGAUACCCCUGUAGUC
rnacentral:rRNA from 1 species